GACGAACGCUGGCGGUGUGCUUAACACAUGCAAGUCGAACGGAAAGGCCUGCAGCUUGCUGCGGGUACUCGAGUGGCGAACGGGUGAGUAACACGUGGGUGAUCUGCCUUGCACUUCGGGAUAAGCUUGGGAAACUGGGUCUAAUACCGGAUAGGACAGCUGUUUAGUGUCAGUUGUGGAAAGUUUUUUCGGUGCAAGAUGAGCUCGCGGCCUAUCAGCUUGUUGGUGGGGUAAUGGCCUACCAAGGCGUCGACGGGUAGCCGGCCUGAGAGGGUGUACGGCCACAUUGGGACUGAGAUACGGCCCAGACUCCUACGGGAGGCAGCAGUGGGGAAUAUUGCACAAUGGGCGGAAGCCUGAUGCAGCGACGCCGCGUGGGGGAUGAAGGCCUUCGGGUUGUAAACUCCUUUCGACAGGGACGAAGCGUAAGUGACGGUACCUGUAUAAGAAGCACCGGCUAACUACGUGCCAGCAGCCGCGGUAAUACGUAGGGUGCGAGCGUUGUCCGGAAUUACUGGGCGUAAAGAGCUCGUAGGUGGUUUGUCGCGUCGUCUGUGAAAUUCCGGGGCUUAACUCCGGGCGUGCAGGCGAUACGGGCUGACUUGAGUGCUGUAGGGGAGACUGGAAUUCCUGGUGUAGCGGUGAAAUGCGCAGAUAUCAGGAGGAACACCGAUGGCGAAGGCAGGUCUCUGGGCAGUAACUGACGCUGAGGAGCGAAAGCAUGGGUAGCGAACAGGAUUAGAUACCCUGGUAGUCCAUGCCGUAAACGGUGGGCGCUAGGUGUAGGGGGCUUCCACGUCUUCUGUGCCGUAGCUAACGCAUUAAGCGCCCCGCCUGGGGAGUACGGCC
rnacentral:rRNA from 1 species